rnacentral:lncRNA from 1 species
GUGACAACGGCAAGCUGGCUGCAACGAAGCCGCCCACGUAGGCCUCCCCGGCCUGCUGGAGGAGAGGGGAUCCCCCGGGGCAGAGGCGGCUACACCCGGAGAACCCGGAAACCGGAAGCGCAGAUCCUGCCGGCUCUGGACUAGCCGCUCAGCACCAGGGCGGAAGGAAGACGAGGCGAGGCAAGCGCCAAGCUUCCAUCCGGACUUCAAGGCCAGUGGCUGGGUCUGGUUUUCUCAACACGGCCUCCUAGUCUCCUUCCCGCUUGGGCAUCUGUUUUUCUUAUAUAGACCCUGAAGCCGCCCGUGAUGUUCUGUAAGCAGGUUCCGCUUCAGAAUCAGAGGUACUUAAGAGGGAACCUGGAUGCUAGACCUGCCCUUGCUGCUGGCCUCAGUUUCUUUACCUGUAAAACAGGGAUUUUGGAACUGUUAAAUUAAAUCAAACUUAAAAGAAUUACAACUUAAAGCUGCUGGAACUUUACAUGAUCCCGAGCCUUGAGAGGAAUGUGGCUAUGCAGCCUGAGUCAUGUGGCAUGCAGAUGCAACCUCUGCCUUUUUCCGCUGUAAAUAAUUAAGAAGACCAAGUAGCAUCCAAGAGUCACCUAAGCUGAAGAUUCCCUUGAGAACAAGUACUGUCCUGUGGUUUCAUGGCCUUUCUUCCAUUUGUGGUUCUUGCCAAGCGGAAUUUAAAUGACAUCUUAUCAAGAUGGAUAAACCCUAGUUUCCCAGUGCUGGAAUAUAGAAAAUGGAUGGACAAGUAAAUCCCACUCAGCACCCAUAGCCCAGGCAUGGGGACCUCAACACAUUUGAGCCGCAGAGAUCACCUUUCAUUGUGAAUAGCUCUGAGAUGAUACUUCUGGUUGAAUGUCUUUUUGUCACUUCCGGCUGGAUCUACCAUGAAAGAUUUCUGAAUCCAGGAAGAGAGAUUGACUGGGCAACAUGUUAUUCAGAAACAGGACCUUGCCCUGUCACUCAGGAUGGAGUUCAGUGGUCCAAUCAUGGCUCAUUGUAGCCUCAAACUCCCAGGCUCAAGCAAUCCUACCACGUCAGUCUUCCCAGUAGCUGACAGGGUCUCACUCUGUCGCCCAGGCUGGAGUGCAGUGGCAUGAUCUUGGCUCACUGUAGUGUAGACUUCCCAGCCUCAAGGGAUCCUCCCACCCCAGACUCCCAAGUAGCUGGAAUUACAGGUCUCAUGCUCUCACUCAGGCUGCAGUACAGUGGCACAACCUCUACUCACUGCAGCCUCUACCUGCCAGGCUCAAGCAAUUCUCCUGACUUAGCCUCCCGAGUAGCUGGGAUUACAGGUAAGUGCCACCACACCAAGCUAAAUUUUGUGUUUUUUGUAGAGAUGGGGUUUCGCCAUGUUUCCCAGACUGGUCUCAAACUCCUGAGCUCAAAGCAAUUCACCCGCCUUGGCCUCCCAAAGUGCUGGGAUUACAGGUGUGAGCCACCUUGCUCAUUCUAGUUUAAACUUUUGAGUGGUUUGUGUCUCCUGAUUGGACUCCUACAAAUACAGAAUUGAUGGUAGGAAGGGUACCAGGAGAUAGACCCACACAGAUGGGAUUUGGGAAUAGGUUUGGUUAUCCAAGGAGCAGUGCUGAGCUCCUUGCUAAUGGGAUAUGGGAGGCUGGUGAUUUCCAGGAAGUGACCUCACAAUGACUCAAGCUACCACAUACUGUUCAUUGUGAAAUGCCAGUUGAAGCAUAUGUCCUGUGAGCUUAGGGGUGCUACAAGUUGACCACUGCAGCAGUAAAGAUGAUUCUGAAGAAUGGCAUGGGAUGGAUCCUUUCGAAUGCACUUGAGCAGCGGUCUCCAACCACAGGGCCACAGAGCUGGAGCUGGAUCUACCAUGAAAGACUUCUGAAUCCAGGAAGAGAGACUGACUGGGCAACAUGUUAUUCAGGAGAUGGGGUCUCACCCUGUCGCCCAGGCUUGAGUACAGUAGUGCUAUCACAGCUCACUGCAGCCUUGAACUCCUGGGCUAAGGAUCCUCCUACCUGAGCCUCCUGAGUAGCUGGGACUGUAGGGUCUCCCUCUGUUGUCCAAGGCUGGAGUGUAGUAGUGCUAUCACAGCUGACUGCAGCCUCAACCUUCCAGGCUGAAGCGAUCCUCCCAUCUCAACCUCCCACGUGGCUGAGACUACAGGCGCUUGCCACUAUGCCCAACUAAUAUUUGGAAUUUUCCUAUACGUGGAUUCCAGAGGGGUGACAGCGAAACGUGAGUGGGACCAUCCAGUUGCAGGAAAACGAGCUUAACACGCCCACUGAUUCUACAUUAUGCUCCUACCUCCCGGCAGCCUCUCCAGGCCCAGAACUUUCUCCAGUCGGCCUCCACAGACCAAGCUCAUGACUCACAAUGGCCUAUUUAGGCCCAUACCCUACCUCACGGCAGUCUCCGCAGAUGAGGCUACUGCCUCACAACAGCCUCCACAGGCACAGCUCCAUCGUUACAAUGGCCUCUUUAGACCCAGCUCCUGCCUCCCAGCCUUCUCUCUAGGCCCUGAACUUUCUCAAGUCGACGUCACCAGGCCCAGCUCAUGCUUCUUGGCAGCCUCUCCAGGCCCAGCUCUUCCUCCCGGCGGCCUCUGCAGGCCCAGACUGUCAUCAAGUCGGCCUGUCCAGGGCCAGCUCCUGCCUCCCGGCGCCCUCUGCAGGCCCAAGUCGUCCUCAAGUUGGCCUCCCCAGGCCCAGCUCCAGCCUCUCGGCGGCCUCUCCGGGUGCAAAAGUUCCUCGAGUCAGCCUCUCCAGGCCCAGCUCCUCCUGCCUCCCAGUGCCUCUUUCGGCCCAGCCCAGCUCAUGCCUCUGGGCGGCCUUCCCAGGCCCCGCUUUUGACUUUUGGCGGCCUCUGCAGGCCUCGACAAGGCCCGGCCUCCUGCCUCCCGAAGCCUGCACAGGCCCAGCCUCUGCCUCACAGCAGACUCUCCACGCCCAGCUAGCUCUCGCCUCACUGCGGCCUCCCCAGUCCAAAGCUCCUGCCUCUCGGCCGCUUCGGCAGGCCCAGCUCCCGCCUGCCAGUGCCUCUUCAGGCCCAUGGGGCUCAUUCCUCACAACGGCCUUUCCAGGCCCCGUUUUUCCCUUCCGGCGGCCUCUCCGGGCCCAGAACCUCCUCAAGUUGGCCUCUCCAGACCCACUUGCACCCUCCGGGCGUCCUCUCCAGGCCCAGCUCUUCCUCCCGGCUGCGUCUCCAGGCCCGACUCCUGCCUCCCAACAACCUCUUUGGACUCAGUGCCUGCCCAUCUCCUGGCGGCCUUGGUCGGCCCACAGCUUCCUCAAGCCAAGCUCCCCAGGCCCAGGUCAGGCCUCACGGUGGCCUCUCCAGGAUCAGCUCCUGCCCUCCGAUGGUGUCUCCAGGCCCCAAAUGGUCUCCGGCCAGUGGGCUCCUCCACGCCCAGCUUGGGCCUCCCGGCGACCUCUGCAGGCCCAAGUCGUCCUGAAGUCGGCCUCUCCCGGCCCUGCCUCCCAGCAAGUAAGCAAGCUUUUUUGGCUUAGCUCCUGCCCAGCUCCCAACCGCCUUUGUAGGCCCCGAACUUUCUCCAGCCAAGCUCUUCGGGCCCACCUCCUGCCUCCCGGUGGCCUGUACAGGCCCAGCUCUGGCUGGAGAACAGCCUCUGCAGGCCCCGCUCUUGCCUCCCAGGGGCCUCUCCAGGCCCAGCUCUCGCCCCCACAGCGGCCUCCCGGGGCCAAGUCCCUGCCUGCCUCCCGGCAUCCCGCAUGCAGCCCAGCUCCUCCCUCACGGUGGCCUGUUGAUGCCCAACUCAUGCCUCUGGCACCCUGCCCAGAGGCGUGAGCCCCUGCCUCACACCGGCUCCUCCCACGCUGACAGAGGUCAGCGUGAGCCCCUGCCUCAACAGGCCACCGUGAGGGAGGAGCAGGGCCGCACGCGGGCUGCCGGAAGGCGGACAGGGACUUGGCCCCGGGAGGCCGCGGUGGGGCAAGAGCUUGGCCUGGAGACGCCCCUGGGAGGCAACAGCAGGGCCUGCAGACGCUCUUCUCCAGCCAGAGCUGGGACUGUACAGGCCACUGGGAGGCAGGAUGUGGGCCUGAAGAGCUUGGCUGCAGAAACUUUGGGGUCUACAAACGCCGGCGAGAGCUGAGCCGAAAGAGCUUGCUUGCUGGGAGGCAGGAGCUGGGCCGGGAGAUGCAGCCAGGAGGAACAGCUGGGCCUGCAGAGGCCGCCAUGCGGGAGGCAGAGGCUGGGCCUCCUCAAGUUGGCCUCUCCAGACCCACUUGCAGCCUCCCGGCGUCCUCUCCGGGCCCAGCUCUUCCUCCCGGCUGCGUCUCCAGGCCCAACUCCGGCCUCCCAACAAGGUCUUUGGACUCAGCUCCCCCGCAGCUUCCAGCGGCCCUGGUAGGCCCACAACUUCCUGAAGCCAAGCUCCCCAGGCCCAGCUCAGGCCUCACGGUGGCCUCUCCAGGCUCAGCUCCUGCCCUCCGACAGCGUCUCCAGGCCCCAAACGGCCUCCGGUCGGUGGGCUCCUCUAGGCCCAGCUUGGGCCUCCCGGCAGCCUCUGCAGGCCCAAAUCGUCCUGAAGUCGGCCUCUCCAGGCCCAGCUCCAGCCUCCCGGCGGCCUCUGCAGGCCUAAGUCGUCCUCAAGUCGGCCUGGAAAUGGGCCUGGAAGAGCUGCAAGUCGGCCUCCCCGGGCCCAGCUCCGUCCUCUCGGCGGCCUCUCCAGGUGCAAAACUUCCUCGAGUCAGCCUCUCCAGGCCCAGCUCCUCCUGCCUCAGUGGCCUCUUUCGGCCCAGCCCAGCUCAUGGCUCUCGGCGGUCUUCCCAGGCCCCGCUUUUGACUUUUGGUGGCCUCUUCAGGCCCAGAACUUGACCUCCAGUCGGCCUUUGCAGGCCCGGCCUCCUGCCUCUCGAAGGUCUGCAUGGGCCCGGCCUCGGCCUCACAGCGGACUCUCCACGCCCAGCUAGCUCUCGCCUCACUGCACCCUCCCCAGUCCAAAGCUCCUGCCUUUCGGCCACUUCGGCAGGCCCAGCUCCUGCCUGCCAGUGGCCUCUUUAGGCCCAGCUCAUUCCUCACAACGGCCUUUCCAGGCCCCGUUUUUCCCUUCCGGCAGCCUCUUGGCCUCUAAUUUUUUUAUCUUUUGUGUAUAAAUCCCAAAUUAUGGAAUUUUGGAAUAUUUCCACCAUUAUAUAAAUAUUUUGGUAGGUAAUUUAUUUGGAGUGAGUUUCUGCACCAAGCCCGAAUUUUUUAUUUUAUUUUCCUUAUUAUUUGGUGUUAAACAGGUUUAAUGACGGUCAUGGCAACUUUUUGGCACAAUGAAAAAUAUCGCCCAUGAUCAACGUGUUCUGUUCUGGGGAAGGGGGCAAAGGCAGGGUGAAUCACUUUCUUAAAAAGUACAGCUUAAGUUGGGAGUGCAGAGGGAAUGGGGAGAAAACCCUCCCACUGCCUGUGUCGAAGUGCAGGAGCCCCCACCCCCAUACUCACCUGAGUCCAGCCCCUCU